CCCAGAAGGGUUUGGACUGUGUGAUCCUGGCCAGAGGGCUGAGCCAGUAAUGACCUGCAGAGGCAGGCUGAGAGCUGAAGAGAUUGGUGCACUGUGCUUGGUCUCCGGGGGAGCUCAAGGAGGCUAAGGACAUAUCAGUUGGAGGCAACAGAGGAUGAGAGAGACCUAGGUGCAUUGUCCAAACACAGGAUGACUACGAGCUGCUACUGUGAUGUGGCCAUAAAAAAAAGGCUAAUGCAAUCCUAGGAUGCAUCCUGUGAGGCCAACUCCUGGGAUGCACUUUCAGGGCCUGGUUGCAGAUCUUGAUGUGAAAGAUAAACAAUUUGCUAUCCACAAUGACAAUGGAGGCACCUAAUCCAUUGGUCCUGAAUACCAGAAUGCCCCAGACUCCCAGAAUGAAUUGAAAAUUACAACUCCCCAGAAGAUGUCUUCACCCUUCCUUAUCCUCGGUCUCCUCUUGAGUCCAACCUCCUGAGUGUCAUUGUGACACCAGAGGAGGAAACUACCUCAAGGAAAUGGGAAUGUUCCACUCCUCAGUCCAUAGGCAGGAGCUUUUACCCACUGGAACUAAUUGCUCCACCGGUCAAGCAGGAACUAGCCUUCUCCUUGGAGGAGUUGGAGGCUCCAGGCAUUGCUUCACCCCCAGGCAGGCUAUAUCAGAAGCUACUGCAGAGAGCAUCAAAUUACCUCCAGAUUGCACUACAGAAUGUCCAGGAUACCCUCCAUCAACUCUUUGACAGUUUACAAUCUUCUGGUCCCAAUAAAGUGGCCCUCCCAAUAAACAAGGCCAUCAUGGAACCAGCUAGGGUAAGCUCUGGCCUCCUGAACCCCCUACACUGAAAAGGGCUGAGACACACUAUUUUGUACCAGCCAAAGGAGUGGAGUGCCU